UCUGCUAACUUCCACUUAAUUUGGUGAUAAGUUAAUGAUAUAAAACUGAAAAACCCAAGUAUGUGAAACUGAGACACCAGCAGAUUCUUAAGUUGUUUUGUUCCCUUAUUUUCUUGACCCAUAUUUGAGGAUUGUUACUGAGUAGUAAAUUACUUAUAUUGGGACUAAAGCAGCUAUGGGGAAAAAUUACUUUGAUCACAUUUUAAAAUAGAUAGGAAAUGUCCUUUAGGUUAGAGAAAAUAGUUCCUAGUUGUCAUUUGACACUCAGUUUUUAUUUUGGAAUCAUUUUUUUCAUCAACAUGCCUUGCUUUAUAUGACUCUCUGUGAGGCAGAAAAGAGGGGCAUUAGCUAAGGAGGCCUAACCUAAGUGGGGUUAAGUGGGUUAAUAUGGAGCUGCUGCUGUAGAUUUGCAGCACCUGUGAUUAAUUUAGUCCUGCCUUGGCAUUUCCAAUUACAGAUUUUUCUUACUGGAAUUGCAUUACAAAGAUGAAUGCUCUUUCAAGAGAGGACUGCUGAAGGAAAAAAAAAAGAUGAGCGUGCUCACCGGAGAAAAUGCCUCCAGUGAGCGCAGUGCCUCAGUUGUAUUUUUGAGUCUCUAUGAGACCACUUCUGUUCUGCAGUUUGACUAUAUAUUCACACAUAAUGCAGCCUUUUUUUGGCUUUGUUACAGUUAAUACUUCAUAGAUCUUGGAAAUUGAGAAGUUCUCGAAACAUCACUUUUGGCUGUUGUGUAUGUAAUUUGUCAUAAAAGAUAGCAAACCUUUCGCUACUUCACUAAACGAAUUUCAGAGUAAACACUGUGAUUCUGCAAAGCAGAUUCUGUAGGCUUUCAACAAUUUUUUUCUUGUUAUACAGUGCCUACCACCUAGGGCACUUAAAUAUUACUAGAGGAUGGAAAGUUAAACGUUGUUUUGAUGUUUAUUAAAUAAGAUUAGAGAAUAUUUGAUUUUGUUUUGUCAGUGUAUUAGAGAAAUUUUUGCAUUGAUAAAUGUUCUUUAGGAAUGUGACUACAUUCAUCGGGUGUGAACUCCUGUAAAUGAAUUUUGUAUCUUGAAUCCACGUAUAAAGUGUAUCAUCAAUAUA
rnacentral:lncRNA from 1 species